UUUUUAACCGGAUUUUUGUGACAAAAAUGUCGGUUAUUGAUUUGGGGAUGUACGGCGGGCGGUCGGGCGGGCGGCAAUCAAAUGUUGUCCGUGCAUUAACUCAUGAACCGUUCAACCAAAGCUUUUAAAAUUUUAAUAUGUUGUUACUGACAACUAAAUGAAGGUCAAGUUCAAUAAUGGCGAUUUUGACUUUUACCGUUCAGGAGUUAUGGUUCUUGAAAGAUUGAAAAAUGGAGUUUCCAGUCGUGUCCGUGCAUUUACACAUGAACUGUUCUACCUAAGCUUCCCAAAUUUUAAUAUGUUGUUACUGAUGACAAAAUGGAGGUCAAGUUCAAUAAUGACGAUUUUGACUUUUACCGUUCAGGAGUUAUGGUUCUUGAAAGAUUGAAAAAUGGUGUUUCCAGUCGUGUCCGUGCAUUUUCUCAUGAACCAUUCAACCAAAGCUUUUGAAAUUUUUAUAUGUUGUUACUGAUGGCAAAUUAAAAGUCAAGUUCAAUUAUGACGAUUUUGACUUUUACUGUUCAGGAGUUAUGGUUCUUGAAAGAUUGUGAAAUGGCGUUUCCAUUCACGUUGUUGCAUUUACUCAUGAACCAUUCAAUCUAAGCUUUUCAAAUUUUAAGAUGUUGAUACUGAUGACAAAAUGGAGGUCAAAUUUGAUAUUGACGAUUUUCACUUUCACCAUUCAUCAGUAAUGGUUCUUGUGAUAUUGCCAGGACACAAAUAAAUAUUAAUAAAUCUGGUUUGCUGUCGUUGUGACAGCCUCUUGUU
rnacentral:lncRNA from 1 species